GGAGUAACUAUGACUCUCUUAAG
rnacentral:ncRNA from 3 species